ensembl:ncRNA F23H12.20 ncRNA
CGAUGGCGCCGACAAACACUUAUUCACGCAUAAUAAUAAUGAUCAAUCCAGUCUCGGAAAAAGAGGUGCGGUCACGAAGCUUCUGCUUUAUCACAUUUCUCUUGUAUUUAGGGAAAUUCGAACUGUUUAAAGUCAAAC